rnacentral:rRNA from 1 species
UACGAAGGGGGCUAGCGUUGCUCGGGAAUCACUGGGCGUAAAGGGCGCGUAGGCGGCCGAUUAAGUCGGGGGUGAAAAGCCUGUGGCUCAACCACAGAAUUGCCUUCGAUACUGGUUGGCUUGAGACCGGAAGAGGACAGCGGAACUGCGAGUGUAGAGGUGAAAUUCGUAGAUAUUCGCAAGAACACCAGUGGCGAAGGCGGCUGUCUGGUCCGGUUCGUGACGCUGAGGCGCGAAAGCGUGGGGAGCAAACAGG